UAGAAACCCUUGUGAAUGUGAUCAAAGAGAGAGUGAGCAAUAUAGAUAUCUGUAGGUAUGGAGGAGAAUAGAGAAAUUCUCAUAUUCUCAAAAAAGAAGAGAAUCAAACAGCAGCACGAACAGAAAAGUUUGUGCUCACAGCGAAUCAGCGAAUUACCAGAUUUUCACAGUAUGACCCACCUUCAAAUUCCUAGAACAUUCAUGGAUGCAGCCAUAUGAGGUGGGAGCGUGCAACCAGUGGUACAGAUCUUAACCACUGCUUGCACGUUCACAUGCCCAAGAUAUCCCAAGAAGAUUGUCAGA